AUACUCUCAGUGGCUUCUUUGGGGUCAGGGUGUUCUGGUGUCAGUGCCACAAACAGAACACCCUGACCCCAAAGAAGCCACUGAGAGUAU